rnacentral:rRNA from 1 species
GACGAACGCUGGCGGCGUGCUUAACACAUGCAAGUCGAACGGAAAGGCCCUGCUUUUGUGGGGUGCUCGAGUGGCGAACGGGUGAGUAACACGUGAGUAACCUGCCCUUGACUUUGGGAUAACUUCAGGAAACUGGGGCUAAUACCGGAUAGGAGCUCCUGCUGCAUGGGGGGGGUUGGAAAGUUUCGGCGGUUGGGGAUGGACUCGCGGCUUAUCAGCUGGUUGGUGGGGUAGUGGCUUACCAAGGCUUUGACGGGUAGCCGGCCUGGGAGGGUGACCGGCCACAUUGGGCCUGAGAUACGGCCCAGACUCCUACGGGAGGCAGCAGUCGAGAAUAUUGCGGAAUGGGCGGAAGCCUGAUGCAGAAACGCCGCGUGCGGGAUGCCGGCCUUCGGGUUGUAAACCGCUUUCGACUGUGCCGAAGCGUGAGUGACGGUAAUGGGUAAAGAAGCACCGGCUAACUACGUG